rnacentral:misc_RNA from 1 species
UACGGAGGGUGCAAGCGUUAAUCGGAUUUACUGGGCGUAAAGCGUGCGUAGGUGGUUGAGUAAGUCAGAUGUGAAAGCCCCGGGCUUAACCUGGGAAUUGCAUUUGAUACUGCUUGACUAGAGUUUGGUAGAGGGAAGUGAAAUUCCAGGUGUAGCGGUGAAAUGCGUAGAGAUCUGGAGGAAUACCAGUGGCGAAGGCGGCUUCCUGGACCAAAACUGACACUGAGGCACGAAAGCGUGGGGAGCAAACAGG